UGGGGAAUAUUGGACAAUGGGGGAAAUCUUGAUCCAGCGACGCUGCGUGGGUGAAGAAGGUCUGCGGGUUGUAAAGCUUUUUCGGUGGGGAUGAAAAGCCCUGUUCUAACAAAGCAGGGUCUUGACCUAACCCAAGAAAGAAGCACCGGCUAACUCUGUGCCAGCAGCCGCGGUAAUACAGAGGGUGCGAGCGUUAAUCGGAAUUACUGGGCGUAAAGCGCGCGUAGGCGGCUUUGCAAGUCGAUUGUGAAAUCCCCGGGCUUAACCUGGGAACUGCAGUCGAGACUGCUUUGCUUGAGUAUGGGAGAGGGAGGUGGAAUUUCCGGUGUAGCGGUGAAAUGCGUAGAUAUCGGAAGGAACAUCAGUGGCGAAAGCGACCUCCUGGACCAAUACUGACGCUCAUGUGCGAAAGCGUGGGGAGCAAACAGG
rnacentral:rRNA from 1 species